rnacentral:rRNA from 1 species
UACGGAGGGUGCAAGCGUUAAUCGGAAUUACUGGGCGUAAAGCGCACGCAGGUGGCUGAGUCAGUCGAUUGUGAAAGCCCUGGGCUUAACCUGGGAAUUGCAGUCGAUACUACUCAGCUAGAGUAUGGGAGAGGGUAGUGGAAUUCCCGGUGUAGCGGUGAAAUGCGCAGAUAUCGGGAGGAACACCGGUGGCGAAGGCGGUUCUCUGGGCCUGUACUGACGCUGAGGAGCGAAAGCGUGGGGAGCGAACAGG